GCCUCUUUAGCUCAAUUGGUAGAGCAACCGGCUUUUAACCGGUGGGUCACUGGUUCAAUUCCAGUAAGGGGCA
rnacentral:tRNA from 1 species